UACGUAGGGGGCAAGCGUUGUCCGGAAUCAUUGGGCGUAAAGCGCGUGUAGGCGGCCCGGUAAGUCCGCUGUGAAAGUCGGGGGCUCAACCCUCGAAUGCCGGUGGAUACUGUCGGGCUAGAGUGCGGGAGAGGUGAGUGGAAUUCCUGGUGUAGCGGUGAAAUGCGCAGAUAUCAGGAGGAACACCAAUUGCGAAGGCAGCUCGCUGGAACGUAACUGACGCUGAGACGCGAAAGCGUGGGGAGCAAACAGG
rnacentral:rRNA from 1 species